rnacentral:rRNA from 1 species
CGCGCGAUACAGGGUGACAGCCCCGUACACAAAAGCGCAUGUGCUGUGAGCUCGAUGAGUAGGGCGGGACACGUGGUAUCCUGUCUGAAUAUGGGGGGACCAUCCUCCAAGGCUAAAUACUCCUGACUGACCGAUAGUGAACCAGUACCGUGAGGGAAAGGCGAAAAGAACCCCGGCGAGGGGAGUGAAAAAGAACCUGAAACCGUGUACGUACAAGCAGUGGGAGCACAGGUUUACCUGUGUGACUGCGUACCUUUUGUAUAAUGGGUCAGCGACUUAUAUUCUGUAGCAAGGUUAACCGAAUAGGGGAGCCGGAGGGAAACCGAGUCUUAAUUGGGCGUUAAGUUGCAGGGUAUAGACCCGAAACCCGGUGAUCUAGCCAUGGGCAGGUUGAAGGUUGGGUAACACUAACUGGAGGACCGAACCGACUAAUGUUGAAAAAUUAGCGGAUGACCUGUGGCUGGGGGUGAAAGGCCAAUCAAACCGGGAGAUAGCUGGUUCUCCCCGAAAGCUAUUUAGGUAGCGCCUCGUGAAUUCAUCUCCGGGGGUAGAGCACUGUUUCGGCUAGGGGGCCAUCCCGGCUUACCAACCCGAUGCAAACUGCGAAUACCGGAGAAUGUUAUCACGGGAGACACACGGCGGGUGCUAACGUCCGUCGUGAAGAGGGAAACAACCCAGACCGCCAGCUAAGGUCCCAAAGUCAUGGUUAAGUGGGAAACGAUGUGGGAAGGCCCAGACAGCCAGGAUGUUGGCUUAGAAGCAGCCAUCAUUUAAAGAAAGCGUAAUAGCUCACUGGUCGAGUCGGCCUGCGCGGAAGAUGUAACGGGGCUAAACCAUGCACCGAAGCUGCGGCAGCGACGCUUAUGCGUUGUUGGGUAGGGGAGCGUUCUGUAAGCCUGUGAAGGUGGCCUGUGAGGGUUGCUGGAGGUAUCAGAAGUGCGAAUGCUGACAUAAGUAACGAUAAAGCGGGUGAAAAGCCCGCUCGCCGGAAGACCAAGGGUUCCUGUCCAACGUUAAUCGGGGCAGGGUGAGUCGACCCCUAAGGCGAGGCCGAAAGGCGUAGUCGAUGGGAAACGGGUUAAUAUUCCCGUACUUGGUGUUACUGCGAAGGGGGGACGGAGAAGGCUAUGUUGGCCGGGCGACGGUUGUCCCGGUUUAAGCGUGUAGGUGUGUGUUCCAGGUAAAUCCGGUUCACUUUAACACUGAGGCGUGAUGACGAGGCACUACGGUGCUGAAGUAACAAAUGCCCUGCUUCCAGGAAAAGCCUCUAAGCAUCAGGUAACAUCAAAUCGUACCCCAAACCGACACAGGUGGUCAGGUAGAGAAUACCAAGGCGCUUGAGAGAACUCGGGUGAAGGAACUAGGCAAAAUGGUGCCGUAACUUCGGGAGAAGGCACGCUGACAC